rnacentral:tRNA from 2 species
GGGGCUAUAGCUCAGCUGGGAGAGCGCUUGCAUGGCAUGCAAGAGGUCAGCGGUUCGAUCCCGCUUAGCU